rnacentral:rRNA from 1 species
CAGUAGCCGCGGGAAUACGGAGGGUGCAAGCGUUAAUCGGAAUUACUGGGCGUAAAGCGUGCGUAGGCGGUUCGUUAAGUCUGUUGUGAAAGCCCCGGGCUCAACCUGGGAAUGGCAAUGGAUACUGGCGAGCUAGAGUGUGUCAGAGGAUGGUGGAAUUCCCGGUGUAGCGGUGAAAUGCGUAGAGAUCGGGAGGAACAUCAGUGGCGAAGGCGGCCAUCUGGGACAACACUGACGCUGAGGCACGAAAGCGUGGGGAGCAAACAGGAUUAGAGACCCCUGUAGUCCCUGUCUCUUAUAA